GAUGAACGCUAGCUACAGGCUUAACACAUGCAAGUCGAACGAAGCAUAUCUGACGGAGAUUCGUCGAAGCCGGGUAUGACUUAGUGGCGGACGGGUGAGUAAUGUAUGAGCAACCUGCCUUUCAGAGGGGGACAACAGUUGGAAACGACUGCUAAUACCGCAUAAUGUAUUUGGGUGGCAUCACCUGGAUACCAAAGGAGCAAUCCGCUGAAAGAUGGACUCAUAUCUGAUUAGCUUGUUGGCGGGGUAACAGCCCACCAAGGCAACGAUCAGUAGCCGGACUGAGAGGUUGAACGGCCACAUUGGGACUGAGAUACGGCCCAGACUCC
rnacentral:rRNA from 1 species